GAAGAAAUGAAGAAAAAGAAUUCUCCAAUGUUGGGGAAAUAUAAUGACCUCGGUUUAUAAGAACUUAGAGUUUGUCAAAUGUGAUAUAUAAGAUGAAGCUCUAUCUGGACACACAGAAGUACAUUUUUAAAUAUCAAAGACAUAGACAAGAGUUCCCAGCAAGAAAAAAAAAAAGAUUACCUACACUUGUAGUGCAUGUGCUUCCUCAGCAUAAACAAAUAACUUUCACCUCAAUGUCUGAAUGCCCCCAGAAACUGAAUCACCUCCUACUAGGCUUUUUCUCUUAAAGGUUCCAUCACCUCCCAAUAUCACCACACUGAGCACCAAGCCUCCAACACAUGAACUUAUUGGGGAUGCACUCAAACCAUACAAUUAAUACACACCUGUCAGAAUCCAAACAUUAAGCCUUGAAUCAGACAUCAGUGUUUGUAGAGAAGAUUUUGGUGGGUGGACAGCACUCCACAUUUUUUUUCUCUUGGUAUUAUCUGUUGAUAUUUGGAAGCAGACAAAGCAAGAAGC
rnacentral:lncRNA from 1 species